rnacentral:lncRNA from 1 species
UACUCUUUUAGACAAUCCACACACCAAUUCACGACAGUCUUCAUUCAUAUCUACUUCCAACAUAUGAACGACUGUGGCCCGUUUGAAUAAUUCGAUUAUUCUUAAUAAACUCAAUUAUUCUGGAAGUCAAAACAUGCAAAUGUGAAACACAAGAAUAAUACUAAUCCCAUAUGGCCUCAAACCUUUGAGUAUAAAUAAAACACCUUUUAUUUAUCACCAUAUUGAUUACUCAUUAUUUGUCGUUUCGGGUAAUCAACUUCUUACUUGAAUUACAACACUUGUCCCAUGCUCCUAGCAUGCACACAAUGUUUACCUAUGGUUCUUACUUUGUGAAAUAGAUCACAUUGAACACAUUUCCAAUCAUUCUCAUUUCACAACUCCAAAUCCUUUUUCAUAAGUGAGAGAAUAUCAAAUUCUUGCUACUUAUAGAAUAUGCUAGAUUCUAACAUUCUAUGCAACUAUCCUUUCGUAAUGUCACUGCACCAAAGUCACAAAGACUAUUGCCAAUGAUAUUACAAAGUCCUCUAUCGGAGAUUGUUACAAGACAAUUCCAUAGAUGUGAUGUCUCUCACUCAAAGUACAUUCUUUGAACAUCCUUUUGCAUAGAAGUUUCUAAUCUAGUCAUAGAUUUCUCAAUAUUCAAUUCCCAAUAUGGACACACUUCCAUAUGUUCCAUAUGACAACUCAUUCUUAAUAGAAUCUUAUCUAUUCGUAAUGAUGUCGAUAUGGUCCAUCCAAUAUGGAAACAUUUCCAUAUUUUCCAAUACUAUACUUCCAACUACUCACAAGCGACCAAUCCUCGUCGAACUUUGGAUUGUCCUUUGAUAGUUGUUUAAUUAUUUUAGUCAAAACCAAUUCUAGUCCCUUUUCCCUCUAAAUGCGCUCGACAUUUGGAAAAUUUUAGAAUGGUCAAACAUUAAAGCAUUUGCAAUCGAUCCUAUACCCGAAGCGUAUGGGACACGACGCAUAAUGUUUUAUUUGCUAUGUUCUCAAAAUUCGAAUUGUGAAGAGGGAUGCCGUAAUCAUAAUCGAAAUUUUAAGAACACACUUUGUACCUUUGACUAAAUUUUAUUAACAUUUCUCAACCUAAACCUUUAGAUUUGAAAUGAAGCAUAAUAUUCUCUCCCUUAAUUAUAGCAAAACAACUCUUCAACUAUUGCGACUUUGCAAAGUAUGACUCUUGUUUUCUAUAAUUAAUAUUGCUAACCUUGCAAUACUUUCCUUAAUAAUCAUACAAUCAUAACUUUUAUGCUCCCACUAUCUUGAUGAUUAUUAUAAAACAUAACACUUAUGCUCCCACUAGCUUCGACAUGUAUUCAUAAACAUCUUAACUUUCAGAAAAAAAAUGCUUAUUGAAUUUCUUAAGUUCAUGUUUCUAAUACUUAGUGCUUUGAUAAUCUUUUAUCAAGGUUUCUUGAACUUAUACACAUUUGCCUUCGAUAGUUCAUAUGUGUGUCUAAACAAUUAAGACUAAUUGCCAAACCUCACAAUUCAAAUUAUGGAAAGGGAUGCCGUAACCAUAAUUGAAUUCGAGAAUGCAAUUUUACAAUCACUAUCUUCUUAAAAUCUUUCUUAGUGAAAGCAUUUCCUCACAAUCAUUUUCAUGAAGGAGGAAAUCUUAUGACACUUAGAUUUAAACGGUGUAUUUGUUCCUAUCCAUGUGAAUUUGUCAAAACCAAAGUUUACGACAAAUUCAAACUCUUAUGGAUCGAACUUUCUUGAUCUCGAUUUCUUGCCUUUAUGGUAGCACAGCUGCCCACCAUGUCUUCCAAGUAGUUAAGCAGCUCACCCUUUCCUAUCAAUGUACCUUUCAUUGAUUAAGGUGCUUUGCCUUUUAUGCGUUCAAAAUGAGAACUCAUAGAACUCACAUGCAUAAUUAACUCGAUUGGAUUGGCACAGAAUCAAAAUAAUGUCAACACGAUAGGUUGUAAACCUCAACUCGUGUGCUAGUGAUGAUCGAUAAGGUUUAUUUGAUUUGUUCUUGAAACCUUUCAAGACCAUUAAGACUCCCACUGACUCCUUGACAUAUAAGAUUCUCUUGUCAAAAAACAUUUCUUGACAAACAAAUAUUCAAGAGUUAGUGUAGCUUUUAUCAAAACACUUCAUAAAUUGGUCCUAGUUGGUCUUUGUCUUAUCCAAGACAUCACAACUUUCCACAUUUAAUGAAUGUUAUAAACCUUCUUAAUACUUAUCACUCAAUGUCACAAUCUUAACUCUAAGACUUGUUUUGGAACGAAGUAUGAUUGACUUCUUGAUUUAACCAUUUCUUCAAUUCUUGAUUCCUCUUCUUAGACAUACAAUUGUACUAAGACUCACUUAGAGGAUCAAUUGAGAUAUGGUUCUUAAUCAUUAAGACCUAUCAUAAAGCAUAAAAGGUACUCUCCCUUCUUCUUAGAAUGGAGAAACUUUUAUCUUUCUGCCUACUUGAUUCUUCUUAUUCGUUCUGCUAUUGAUUUAAACUUUUUCAAUCAAUUCAGAAUUACACUUAAUCUUAUAAGUAUAAUCAUAUUUACUAAACCUUUAGUAAAUCAUGACGAAUAUCUUUGUUACUCUUAUGGUGGACUUGAUCAACACGCAACUUUGUGUACUCGAUCUCCUAGUCCUUCACUUGACACUUUGUCAAUGAAUUAGUCUAAUUUCCAAAUAUGAAAUUUCUCAUUCAUCGUGCAACCAAGUUGCAUGAUUCCAAGUUUCUGUCCAAUUGAAACUUGGGCGAUGAGAAACUCUCCCUAUUUGGUAAAUUCUCGACUUUCCAUAAAUAACAUAAUAAGAACCAAAUCCAUUAUUGCUAAUAAUAGAAACAUUUUAACAUCAAUUUUUCAUACACGCCAUUGUAAGGAUAAAUAAAUAAAAUUUAAAAUCAAAAUUUAUUUUAUUGCGGAAAAAUUUGUCCUUACAAUGCAAUUCAUUGAAAAACUAUGCUAAUACAUCUUUCUUAGCAAUCUAAUUCUAACUCUAAGUAGUAGCUCAAGAAUCUAAUCUUCGAGAAAUGCGAUCGAAAUCCAUUCCUUCACGGUUAGAUUCUGCUCACUUCUUCCCUUAAGCUUCCUUUCUUUUCUUCGAUCCUACAAAACAUCAAUUGUAAUCUUAUCACAUUAUGUAUUAAGAAUCUAGAAUAGAAGCUUAAAAGAGUUAGUCAAUGGAUUUUACCUAAAGCAAAGCCAUACGUUUUGACUCUCCCAUCUCUUAGAUCUCUUAGGUAAAUAGGGCAGCUUCGUCUCCAAUGCCCCUUCUCUUGGCAAUAAAAGCAAAUUGACUCUUUUGGAACAUGACAUGGAACUACUUCAGACAUUGCCUUUCUCUUAUGAUCAAACUUUUCGAUCAUAGCAUGUCUUUCGUUGCCAUUGUCUAUAUCCAUAGAGGUCUUGAAGGCAGAUUCACCAAUCAACUUUGCUUUUCUAUUGCGCCAAACCAUUGCUGAUUCAGCAGCAAUAAGCAUAUAGGUGAGAUCUAUAAGGGUCACGUCGCGGUUCAUCAUAUAGUACUCUCUUACGAACUCACUAUAUGAGUUAGGAAGUGACUGAAGAACCCAAUCAACAGCCAUUUCCUCACAGACAACGGAUCCCAACAUUCUUAACCUAUCAAUGUGUGACUUCAUCCCUAGGACGUGUGCACACACCGACUUUCCUUCUUUAUGUUUACUUGCCAAAAGGGCUUGAGUGAUCUUGAACUUUUCAAGCCUUUGAACUUGUGGGUUAGGGAGAAUAAUUGGAGGAGGUGGAGGAAGUGAAGCAUGAUUUCUUGUUCCUCGAUCGAAUCGUGGAAUAUCAUCUUCAUGUGGAAUGCUUGUUCCACGGGAUUUGGGAAGACCAUAGUUGUCGAACUUUGACAUCUACAAAACGGGAGAAAACGAAUUCAAGUUAGUUGAUUGAUUGAGUCCUUAGUAAAUCACCCAAAUGAGAUACUAAGGCUAGGACCCAACACAAUAUUCUACAACUCGGGAGAGGGAUGCCGUAACCCAAAUUGCAGAACAUUUGAAGGUAAGUGAAUGACGAUUCACUAAUUUCCACCAUGAAAAACGAAAAAGAAAUUUAAGUUUUAAAUCUAUGAAAACUCCUAGAUCCUUUGAGAUUCAUUGAACAUUUCAAUGGCAUGUUUAAAUCUCGAUAUGCCCCUCUUGUUUGUGACUGGGAUGCCGAGGAUCACAAAGCGGGUGUGAAUAACCAUGCAAACUUACAUGGUGCCCUCACAUGUUACAGUCACCUAUUCGAUGUGCCGGUAAACCACACACGCUCCACCGAACUAUGACAAACAUUGAGUCACCCUUUGCUACCUUUGCUUAGAACCAUUUAGUGUGCCGGUAAACCACACACGCUCCACUAACGUCUUCGCAAGGGCACAAAGUGUAAUUUCAUGGAAUUGCAUCAAUUCACUUUUGCCUAAGUAACUAAGAUUGGGAAUUUUAUGAAAACAUUUAGUUACUUUUAUACUUCAUUAUACUUAUAAUGGAAGGUUUCGUCCUAUCCUACCCGUUCGGCUAACGACCCUCCACUAGUCAAGAGUGCGGUGGGUAAGAGUGGAUACCCAUUCAAUCGCCAUUUUAUAGGCAAUUUCCUUAAACACCCCUUAUAGACCAGCUUCGUGAAUGAGGCCUACUAACGGUAAGACUGACUUUUACUCAUACAUAUAUAUAAUGUUAGACUUUUAAUGUUAUAUAUAGUAUAGGGUGUAUUUUACACUUUUAAAAUACUAGGUGGUCAAAUUUAACAAUUAUACUUUUAAUUCAAUUAAAUUGUAAACCUAAACUUUUAUGGAUUUAUUAAACCUCUUUUAAUUAUACACCUUAAUUAAUUAAUAAAACCAUAAGGGUGUGAUUUGAACUUUUUCAAAACUAUACUAGAGUUUUAGAAUUUAACAUUCCUAAUUAAACUUUUAAUCAACUUUUAAAUUCCAAAACUUGAGGGCAAGUUUUGAAACAUUUCAACACAUUAGGGUUUAGAAUUUAAAUAUACAUCAAAAUUAAACUAUUUAAUCAAAAUUUAAAUUCCAAAACUUGAGGGCAAGUUUUGAAACCUUUUUCAAAACAUUAGGGUUUCAACUAUUUAAAUUUCAAAACAACAAAACUUUUGGGUUCAAAUUUAAACUAUAAAACCUAAAGGGGAAAAUAUGAAACUUUUCAUAACAACAAGGAUCAAAUAACAAAUAAUCUAAAUUAACAAUUAAUCACAUAAUUAUCCAUAUUUGAUUUAUUUAAUGAUUUCUUGCAAAACAAUUUAUCAAUUUAGUCAAAAUAAUUAAUCAAUUAUCACAUAAGGAAACAAUUAUCUUAUUAAUUGAUAAAUAUCUUCAAUUAGAUCAAAAAUAUAGUCAAAUAUAUCAUAUAAUCGGAUUAAUAUUGAUCUAACAUGAUAAGGUAACUAUCCAAAUGCAAAAACAGCAAGAAAUCCCGAAAUACCCUCCAUCUGACGAGUUGACUCGGCGAGUCUGCAUGGACUCGGCGAGUUUAGACAUGGACUCGGCGAGUCCAGCCUCCAGAAACCCAAAAAACGAAUUUUCCAGUUAUACAGUGCAUCAAUACAAUUGAAACCAAGCUAGGCUCUGAUACCACUGAUGGGUUUUGGUCAUAAGACAUCCUAUGUGCUCAUACAAACCCUAAUGCUUGGAUCUAGGUUUCUCUAUUGUACAUGCUUUGAAUCCAAGACUAUAAACCCUAAUUCUAGCAUAUGGAAAUCAAUAUUAACAUAUAAUUAGGUUUAAGAUAUUACCUUGAUUGUUAUGUAGCAAUAACAAUCCCAAUUCCUCCUUGAAUUGACUUUGGAAGGCUUAGAGUCACAAGUGUCACUCCUCUAAUGGCUUACAAACACCAUAAGCAAGAGGAUGAAGAGGAGAGAGGAUGGAGGCUGCCCAAAACGUGUUCUAACCCUAGAAAAGAAGUUCCCCACGUUUUUGAGCCUUAAGGGUUCUAUAUAUAGUGAGGCUAUUAGGGUUAUCUAACAAGGAAACCCUAAUUUGGUUGCUUAAGCCCUAAGCAACCCAUAGACUCCUUUAAUCAAGCCCUUGGACGAUUUCCUUAUGGGCUUCCCAUAAGAAUUCGUCCACCUCUUGAUUUAAGACAAUCCAUGGCCCAAAUUGCAAUUAUCUUAUAAUUACAAUUCCAGUCCCUUAAGUUUAAUUAAUCUCUUUUAGUCACAAAACUAAUUACCAAUUAAUUAUUGACUAAUAUUAAUUAAACAAUAUGAUUUCUCCUUUAAUAUAUUAUUCUCAUAAUAUAUUAAUAAAUCAUAUUUAAUCCUUUCUCUCCAUAAUUCAUCCUAUCAAGUUGCUUUGGUGAAGGCAACCCAAAAGGACCAUGCACCAUCGGGUCAAGUACAUACCAAAAUAGUUAUGGACUUAGACACUAAUCCAACAGUCUCCCACUUGGAUAAGUCUAAUAACUAUUCUGCGUAUGACUUCAGAUCCUGAUCUGCAAUCGUAGCUUUCCAAAGCCGCUGUCAACUCUGAUCCUAUCAGAUACGCGUGUCCUUAGAUAAGGGAUCAUAUAUUCCUCCAUUCUAGAUAUCAUAUGAGAUAUGAUUUCAAAUCAUUCUCUUUGUACUAUAUCUCGAUUCCCGAUUUAUGACGACUGACUAAUUGAACAAAUCAAAUUAGCCCUAGCCCGGCCGAGCAUUUACGUUUGUCAUCACUAAAUCAUCGAGGGGCCCAAAGAUAUCGCUUUUAUCCUACUUUGGAUAAAAGGAACGGAUAAACUUUGAUACAAUGCUUGCUUGCACUCACUCACCGAAUCACACACAACAAUAUGUUUUAUAACACCAAGUUACUAGUGCGUUUACAUAUUAUCAAUGUGCAACCGAUUUGCAAGAUACAACUCACACAUCUCGGUUUCAAGAAUAUAAGAUGUUAUCGUCUCACCAAUCACUCGUGAUACAAUUCAUGGAGUGAUCCAAGUGAGCGUGGGUUUAAUCCAAUGCUCAAAUCAUAUUCAUAAGCACUCAUGAACGUUGCAGCAAACAUUUGCUUAUGUCUAAUACUCUUUAGACAAUCCACACACCAAUUCACGACAGUCUUCAUUCAUACCUACUUCCAACAUAUGAACGACUGUGGCCCGUUCGAAUAAUUUGACUGUUCUUAACCAAUUAAAUUAUUCAGGAAGUCAAAACAUGCAAAUUGAAACACAAGAAUAAUACUAAUCCCAUAUGGCCUCAAACCUUUGAGUAUAAAUAAAACACCUUUUAUUUAUCACCAUAUCGAUUACUCAUUAUUUGUCGUUUCGGGUAAUCAACUUCUUACUUGAAUUAUUACACUUGUCCCAUGCUCCU